AAUUUUGGACAAUGGGCGCAAGCCUGAUCCAGCCAUGCCGCGUGAGUGAAGAAGGCCUUCGGGUUGUAAAGCUCUUUCGGACGGAAAGAAAUCGCGCAGGCUAAUACCCUGCGCGGAUGACGGUACCGUCAUAAGAAGCACCGGCUAACUACGUGCCAGCCGCCGCGGUAAUACGUAGGGUGCAAGCGUUAAUCGGAAUUACUGGGCGUAAAGCGUGCGCAGGCGGUUUUGUAAGACAGUGGUGAAAUCCCCGGGCUCAACCUGGGAACUGCCAUUGUGACUGCAAGGCUGGAGUGCGGCAGAGGGGGAUGGAAUUCCGCGUGUAGCAGUGAAAUGCGUAGAGAUGUGGAGGAACACCGAUGGCGAAGGCAGCCCCCUGGGCCGAUACUGACGCUCAUGCACGAAAGCGUGGGUAGCAAACAGG
rnacentral:rRNA from 1 species